rnacentral:rRNA from 1 species
UACGUAGGGUGCAAGCGUUUGUCCGGAAUUAUUGGGCGUAAAGAGCGUGUAGGCGGCCAGGUAGGUCUGCUGUGAAAACUCGAGGCUCAACCUCGAGACGUCGGCGGAAACCAUCUGGCUUGAGUGCGGCAGAGGAGACUGGAAUUCCUGGUGUAGCAGUGAAAUGCGCAGAUAUCAGGAGGAACACCGGUGGCGAAGGCGGGUCUCUGGGCCGAUACUGACGCUGAGGAGCGAAAGCGUGGGGAGCGAACAGG